rnacentral:lncRNA from 1 species
CCAGAGGGUGUCUCCAUCUUCCCUAUUUAUUUUCAGCCCUUGAGGGCUUCAUUGUAGAUCAAAGCCAAGGCCCCCAGGAAGGUGACAUACUCCUGGAAGUUCACCUCCUGGUCCUUGUUCCGGUCCAAGUCUUCCAUCAGCCUUGCAAUUUCAGCCACUCACCGAGCCAAUGGUGAGCUCCUUCUGGAUCAGCUCCUUCAGCUCCUUCUUGCUCAGGGUGUGCUUGUCACCCUCCCUGCCGGAGUACUUGUGGAAGAUGGCCACGAGGAGGCCAAUGGCCUGAUCCAGGGGGCAUGCCAUGGCUGAGGGCUGGGCUUGGAGCUGGCAGCAGAGGGCCUAGUCAGUGCCAUGGGAGCAAGGACUUCUCACCCACACACCCCAAUAAUGCUGCCUGCACUAGCCCCGCCUCCUUUGGAACCACCCAGUCUCAGGCCACACACAAUGGCAUCAGGAGACAGCCCAGGGCUUGAAGGGGAAGGAGAGAGCACACUAGGGCCAAGGCAAGAGAGGUGGCUUAAGGAUUCUAAGAAGCAUAUAGGAACAGUAGCUUUGGGCACAGCUGAGAACUGUCCUUCAGGGGAUCCAGAAGUUGAGGAGUAUGGCUGGGCAGGGGAGGGGAAUGGAGGCUGCAAAGGCAGCUUAAACACAGCUUCACAGGGCCACACAUGGUGGCAAUGACACACCCAGGGCACUCCCUUCCGCACCCCAAAAGAGCACACCCCAUUGCGAUCCCUUAGCCCAAGGCCUGCCUGGCACAGCACUGCUGCUCCUGACUAUCCCUCCAGCGGGGGAGCGCCACAGAUGGCCCCAGUCUGGAUCCAGCGGCUGAACUGGGCAGGGGAUGGCUGGACCCCCAGCGUGAGGGCAGCUGGCCCUGGAAAGUACCCAGGGCUCCUGGAGAGAACUCACCGGUAGGGAGGCGGCCAAAUGCGACGCGAGCGGUCGAGGGGAUGGGCUGUGUCGCAGUCCGACUGGCCUUAUAGCGGUCGGUGCCCCGGAGGCCAGCUCGGCCAAGCCCACCCCGCCCGCCCAAGUCCCGCCCGCGCCCCACCCUGCGCCGUGGCUUACACAACGCACAUUCGCGGUUUACCCCCUCGACUUUCCACGCCUCCUGCCCGGGGCUGUUCCGGGUUAGGACGGGAUGGGGGAGCCCAGCAGUGCCCACUGCACGCCUGGUGACGAGUCUCCCCUCAUCUGCGCAGCUCAGUUUGCUCAGUUUGCUCUUCGUGACACGUGACUCGGCAAGGGGAGCAGGAGGAGGACUGCGGCGGUCACCCCUGCUUCCUCUGCCAGACCGUGAAUGUGACCCUCGAGCCAGCGCAGCGUCAAUGUGGGCAAGGAGGGCGCCUCACAGGAUGCCGGUGUCCCACAGAGGAUACUCAGGGUCACCCCAGAGGAGAUAGGGGGAGUAGCCAGUGGUGUAAAGGAUAUCUACGGCGCCCAUCCCCCACCAGCAACAAGUUCCUACCAACACCUCCACUCCUUCCCCUCAGUGCCCCAAAUUCCAUUCACUACAGCACCUUUGGUGUUAAUGUGCAUGCACGUGGG